GCAACCAGAGACUGUGGAAUCACCAAGUCAGCCUCUACUAGUGAGUUUCAUAUGGAGAUCCAGCUGCAAAUUAAACCUGCCCUGCCUUAAUAGAACCUGUGGACAGGCGGAUUGCUGCAAAUACUGCAUGCCUUCCCUUGAGCUGAAUACUCCUGGAAUGCAGCCAACUCCACUGGCACAGGUUUUGGGGGCUGGUCCCCCUUCACAAUUCUUCUCUUUGCAUCUAUUAAAGGGGAAGAUAGAGCAGACCUGCAGGUCAACCAAAGCUACAGAGAUUUUUGGUGUGUGGUUAUAUGGCUGUUGUGCACAGCAAGGUGUUCUGUAGAAUGGCAUGAUGUAGCAGUGAUGAUCACACAAAAAAAGCUAUGUUGCAGCUACAGCAUGCAGAGAUCAAAAGGAGAUUUUCCACCAGAACAACCUCCAAAAUAGCAGAGGGAAGCAGGAGACAGGAAGAAAGCCAAGACUGGAAAGUAAAGAUCCAGAAGUAAAUGGGCACUAGCAGUGACUAAGUUUGAAACCCAUCCCUCCCCAGAGAAAAUUAGAAGAGGGCAAGGAAGACAAGCAUUGGAAAAGUAGAAUGUUUGUGCUUUUCUUUGCAGCAGACUGCAUGAAAUAUUCAGCAAAAGGGGGGAUCAGCUUACAUUACUCUUCUUGUUUCUCAUGUAUCGGCUGACAGGUGCUGUAAACAUACAUAGACAAACAUGGUCCUGUGCUUGCAAUGCUCCAGUAACUGAGGGCAUAAAUACUUUUAUUUCCUAUGGCAAUUACAUUUGACUCUUUGCAGGCAGAAUACAUUCAGAUAUAGCAUACACUUACUGAUACAAAAGAAACAUUCUGCUUUUAUCUUACUGUACUUUAAAAACACUGAUUCUUAAAGAUUUGCAUUGCAGUGGGAGGUGAUUUUAUUGUUAAUUUAAAAAGCAUAAUUGUGGGGGGGUUUGGGAACUGACUGGAAGUGGAUUUAAAUUCUUCAGCAGCUCCCACAUAAGCAUUUUAAUCAGGAUUAUAAUACAAAAUAAUAAAGUUGUUAUAUAUAGAUCCCAAAGUCAUCUUCUAGGUUUCACAGGAUGAAGAAAUGCACAUACCAGUGCGAAACAGUUGACCUUGGCUAAGAGAUGGGAACUCGUAUUUAAAACAUUCACUCAUUCAUGUUUAAGAGAUGUCAUGGUAAAUAAAUUAUGACUGUUUACACUUAGUCCUAAGUGUCUUCUUUUUCCACACUAUAGGCAGCUAUUUGGCUGAGAUGGUAUCAUUCAGUGAUCUAAUCACACUCUACCUUUUUUCUCACUUGAAUUGUACUUUUGGCUGUCACUUGCUCUUUUGA